rnacentral:tRNA from 1 species
GAAAUGGUGGUUCAGUGGUAGAAUUCUAGCCUCCCAUGCGGGAGACCUGGAUUCGAUUCCCAGCCAAUGUA